rnacentral:rRNA from 1 species
GGGGUGACUGCGUACCUUUUGUAUAAUGGGUCAGCGACUUAUAUUCUGUAGCAAGGUUAACCGUAUAGGGGAGCCGCAGGGAAACCGAGUCUUAACCGGGCGUUAAGUUGCAGGGUAUAGACCCGAAACCCGGUGAUCUAGCCAUGGGCAGGUUGAAGGUUGGGUAACACUAACUGGAGGACCGAACCGACUAAUGUUGAAAAAUUAGCGGAUGACCUGUGGCUGGGGGUGAAAGGCCAAUCAAACCGGGAGAUAGCUGGUUCUCCCCGAAAGCUAUUUAGGUAGCGCCUCGUGAAUUCAUCUCCGGGGGUAGAGCACUGUUUCGGCUAGGGGGCCAUCCCGGCUUACCAACCCGAUGCAAACUGCGAAUACCGGAGAAUGUUAUCACGGGAGACACACGGCGGGUGCUAACGUCCGUCGUGAAGAGGGAAACAACCCAGACCGCCAGCUAAGGUCCCAAAGUCAUGGUUAAGUGGGAAACGAUGUGGGAAGGCCCAGACAGCCAGGAUGUUGGCUUAGAAGCAGCCAUCAUUUAAAGAAAGCGUAAUAGCUCACUGGUCGAGUCGGCCUGCGCGGAAGAUGUAACGGGGCUAAACCAU